UGUCCGUUGUUUCUUUCCGACAUCCUUGUGUUUUCCGGCCAUUAUAGUUGAGAUUUAUUGUUUGUUGGUUCAACUGACGCAAAGCUUGAAAAUUUCUUUGGACAAUGGCUUAUCAUCUUUGAGUUUCACUAUCUAAAGGCAAUGUGUUGUUAUUCUAGAUGAGAUUUGCUAUUGUAAAUAUCAUUGGCAGAGUGGUAGAGAUAUACAGAGGGAUAUUGGUGGGCGGAUGGUUAGGCUCAUUGACUUUGUCCUAGAAGAUGCAAGUGAGAAUCAACUACACUGUACAGUUUGGGAUGCUCAUGUGGAUCAGCUGCUCCCUCAUUUCAAUUCUACCUCAAUUGAGCCAGUCGUUCUAUUGUUGCAGUUAUGCAGACCCAGGUUUCUAGACAAUAAGUAAUAUGCUCCUAAAUAAUUUUUUUUGUCCUGAUUUCAUAAUCACAAAUCAUAUCAAGUGAAGGUAAAAUAAAAGUAUUGGUUACCUGUUGAAAUGGUUUAUUUGUUCUAAUCCAUCUAUUCUUGGUUGUCAAUCUUUCCCAUCCUCAUCCUUUGUAGUGUUCUGUCUGCAAUAACAAAGUAAGAAUGUUAGACUUUUAACAUGUCUGAGUUUGUUUAGGUGGUGGAGUUAGAAUUUUCAGUUCCUUUGAUGCGACUAAGCUAUUGUUUCAUCAUAAGAGUCCGUAGUUCACUACAUUUGUAAAGAGGUAAGUUUAUGAUUUAGUGUUGAUUCUAAUUUUUUAUCCCUUGGCAUAGGGAACUGUCAGAGCUGGUUGGUAUAUCAGCAGAAAAUCUACUUAACAAGUAUGGGGUGGUAA